rnacentral:ncRNA from 2 species
UUCUUCUGCCCCGCGAAUGGUUUUGCCCCUCUCGUGAAGCAGAAAUACCAGGGAAUCCGGUGCGAAUCCGGAACUGUCCCGCAGCGGUAUGUGAGAAAACCAAACGACACAAUGACGCACUGGUGACCCUCCCCAACCUGGAGAACGCUGGGAAGCAGUGUCAAUUAGGUUCCGCCCCGGAUGGCCACAACCUCACGGCCAUCAGGAACAGCAUCAGGAGCAGCGCACUACAUCGCGCACCAGCGGAGUGCUCACGAGUCCGAAUACCUGCUUAUCGUCGCGGAGCCCG